rfam:Trichobilharzia regenti genome assembly, scaffold: TRE_scaffold0005919
GUACCGAUGAAGAGUCCCAAACCAGAACGAAACAGCUGUUCAGUAC